UGCAUUAAAUCAAGCGUUUAAGGGCGUAUGGCGGAUGCCUAGGCACUGAAAGGCGAUGAAGGACGUGGUAUACUGCGAUAAGUUUCGGGGAGCUGUAUGCAGGCUUUGAUCCGAAAAUUUCCGAAUGGGAAAACCCAACUCUUUAUGAGUUACUUUACACUGAAUUCAUAGGUGUAAAGAGCAAACCCGGAGAACUGAAACAUCUAAGUACCCGGAGGAAAAGAAAUCAAUUGAGACUCCGUUAGUAGUGGCGAGCGAACGCGGAACAGGCCAGUAAAAUUGGUAAGUUAAUUUGAAUAGUUUGGAAAAACUAACCACAGCAGGUGAUAGUCCUUUAGAAGUAACACUUAUUAAUUUUCUUGAGUAAAGCGGGACACGAGUAAUCUUGCUCGAAUAUAGGGGGACCACCCUCUAAGCCUAAGUACUCUUCAGUGACCGAUAGUGAACAAGUACCGUGAGGGAAAGGUGAAAAGAACCCCUAUUAGGGGAGUGAAAUAGAACCUGAAACCGUAUGCCUACAAACAGUCAAAGCUCUUUUUAGAGUGAUGGCGUACCUUUUGUAUAAUGGGUCAGUGACUUAAUUUAUCCAGCAAGCUUAAGCCGAUUAGGUGUAGGCGUAGCGAAAGCGAGUCUUAAUAGGGCGAAUUAGUUGUAUGAAUUAGACCCGAAAACGAAUGAGCUUACCAUGAACAGGUUGAAAGCAGGGUAACACUUGCCGGAGGACCGAACCAGUUGACGUUGAAAAGUCUUUGGAUGAUUUGUGGUAAGGGGUGAAAGGCCAACCAAAUUCGUAGAUAGCUGGUUUUCCGCGAAAACUAUUUAGGUAGUGCGUUAAAUAAACAGACUUUUAGAGGUAGAGCACUAAAUGGGCUAGGGGACAGAAAUGUUUACCAAACCUAAUAAAACUCCGAAUGCUAAAAGUCUUUCCUUAACAGACAGACUGUGGGUGCUAAGGUCCAUGGUCGAGAGGGGAACAGCCCAGAUCACCAGAUAAGGUCCCUAAAUCAUGAUUAAGUGUGAAAGGAUGUGGAGAUUCCUAAACAGCCGGGAGGUUGGCUUAGAAGCAGCCAUCCUUUAAAGAUAGCGUA
rnacentral:rRNA from 1 species